rnacentral:lncRNA from 1 species
GUGUAGUAGACCUUACAGUGAAAUGCUGAAUACAACAGGUGUAGUAGACCUUACAGUGAAAUGCUGAAUACAACAGGUGUAGUAGACCUCACAGUGAAAUGCUGAAUACAACAGGUGUAGUAGACCUCACAGUGAAAUGCUGAAUACAACAGGUGUAGUAGACAUCACAGUGAAAUGCUGAAUACAACAGGUGUAGUAGACCUCACAGUGAAAUGCUGAAUACAACAGGUGUAGUAGACCUCACAGUGAAAUGCUGAAUACAACAGGUGUAGUAGACCUCACAGUGAAAUGCUGAAUACAACAGGUGUAGUAGACCU